rnacentral:rRNA from 1 species
CUACGGGGUGCACCAGUGGGGAAUCUUGGACAAUGGGCGCAAGCCUGAUCCAGCCAUGCCGCGUGAGUGGAGAAGGCCUUAGGGUCGUAAAGCUCUUUCGCCAGAGAUGAUAAUGACAGUAUCUGGUAAAGAAACCCCGGCUAACUCCGUGCCAGCAGCCGCGGUAAUACGGAGGGGGUUAGCGUUGUUCGGAAUUACUGGGCGUAAAGCGCGCGUAGGCGGAUUAGUCAGUCAGAGGUGAAAUCCCAGGGCUCAACCCUGGAACUGCCUUUGAUACUGCUAGUCUUGAGUCCGAGAGAGGUGAGUGGAAUUCCGAGUGUAGAGGUGAAAUUCGUAGAUAUUCGGAGGAACACCAGUGGCGAAGGCGGCUCACUGGCUCGAUACUGACGCUGAGGUGCGAAAGUGUGGGGAGCAAACAGGAUUAGAUACCCUUGUAGUC